rnacentral:lncRNA from 1 species
GGAAGAUGGCAAUCUUUGACCUGUUUCCUGCGCAGAUGCUCUGAGGACUGUGUAGGACAAUGCAGGAGCAGCAAGUGUCUGCUGUGUGCUGGAUUAUAAGGCAUAUUCUGGAAGGCAAAAAAGCAAAAAACUGGCAGAAAGCAACUAAGCAGAAUACAGAAUGUCUUGGGUCUAAGGCAGGCAUUUCUACCUCUUCAUUUUUUGGUGUCACCUUUGGGUGUGG